UUAAGUGACUAAGCGUACACGGUGGAUGCCUUGGCAAUCAGAGGCGAUGAAGGACGUGCUAACCUGCGAAAAGGGUUGGUGAGCUGGUAAGAAGCGUUAUAGCCAACCAUGUCCGAAUGGGGAAACCCACUCACUUUAGUGAGUAUCUCAUGCUGAAUACAUAGGCAUGUAGAGGCGAACCCGGGGAACUGAAACAUCUAAGUACCCGGAGGAAAAGAAAUCAACCGAGAUUCCCUAAGUAGCGGCGAGCGAACGGGGAUUAGCCCUUAAGUUUGAUAUGAGCAAGUGGAACGGUCUGGAAAGUCCGGCAAUAGAGGGUGAUAGCCCCGUACACGUAAGCGAAUAUUGAAUGAAAUCGAGUAGGUCGGGACACGUGGUAUCUUGACUGAACAUGGGGGGACCAUCCUCCAAGGCUAAAUACUCCUGAUUGACCGAUAGUGAACCAGUACCGUGAGGGAAAGGCGAAAAGAACCCCUGUGAGGGGAGUGAAAUAGAACCUGAAACCGUGUACGUACAAGCAGUGGGAGCAUCCUUCGGGGUGUGACUGCGUACCUUUUGUAUAAUGGGUCAGCGAGUUACUUUCAGUGGCGAGGUUAACCGAAUAGGGGAGCCGUAGGGAAACCGAGUCUUAACUGGGCGAAUAGUCGCUGGGAGUAGACCCGAAACCCGGUGAUCUAGCCAUGGGCAGGUUGAAGGUUGAGUAACAUCAACUGGAGGACCGAACCCACUAACGUUGCAAAGUUAGGGGAUGACCUGUGGCUGGGGGUGAAAGGCCAAUCAAACCGGGAGAUAGCUGGUUCUCCCCGAAAGCUAUUUAGGUAGCGCCUCGGACGAAUACUAUUGGGGGUAGAGCACUGUUUCGGCUAGGGGGUCAUCCCGACUUACCAACCCGAUGCAAACUCCGAAUACCAAUAAGUACUAUCCGGGAGACACACAGCGGGUGCUAACGUUCGUUGUGGAGAGGGAAACAACCCAGACCGCCAGCUAAGGUCCCAAAGUUAUCACUAAGUGGGAAACGAUGUGGGAAGGCCCAGACAGCCAGGAUGUUGGCUUAGAAGCAGCCAUCAUUUAAAGAAAGCGUAAUAGCUCACUGGUCGAGUCGGCCUGCGCGGAAGAUGUAACGGGGCUAAGUGAUACACCGAAGCUGCGGCAGCAUACUAGUUAUGCUGGGUAGGGGAGCGUUCUGUAAGCCUGUGAAGGUGGAUUGAGAAGUCUGCUGGAGGUAUCAGAAGUGCGAAUGCUGACAUGAGUAACGAUAAUGGGGGUGAAAAACCUCCACGCCGAAAGACCAAGGGUUCCUGUCCAACGUUAAUCGGGGCAGGGUGAGUCGACCCCUAAGGCGAGGCCGAAAGGCGUAGUCGAUGGGAAACAGGUUAAUAUUCCUGUACUCGCUGUAAUUGCGAUGGAGGGACGGAGAAGGUUAGGUGGGCCAGGCGUUGGUUGUCCUGGUGAAAGUGCGUAGGCUGAGUGUUUAGGUAAAUCCGGACGCUCAUUAGGCUGAGACACGAGACGAACAUCCUACGGGAUGGAAGCCAUUGAUACCCUGCUUCCGGGAAAAGCUUCUAAGCUUCAGAUUACAGAGAAUCGUACCCCAAACCGACACAGGUGGUCGGGUAGAGAAUACCAAGGCGCUUGAGAGAACUCGGGUGAAGGAACUAGGCAAAAUAGUACCGUAACUUCGGGAGAAGGUACGCCGCUGAUGGUGAAGUCCCUUGCGGAUGGAGCUGUCGGUGGUCGCAGUGACCAGGUGGCUGGGACUGUUUAUCAAAAACACAGCACUGUGCAAACUCGAAAGAGGACGUAUACGGUGUGACACCUGCCCGGUGCCGGAAGGUUAAUUGAUGUCGUUAUCCCUCGGGAGAAGCGGUUGAUCGAAGCCCCGGUAAACGGCGGCCGUAACUAUAACGGUCCUAAGGUAGCGAAAUUCCUUGUCGGGUAAGUUCCGACCUGCACGAAUGGUGUAACCAUGGCCACGCUGUCUCCACCCGAGACUCAGUGAAAUUGAAAUCGCUGUGAAGAUGCAGUGUACCCGCGGCUAGACGGAAAGACCCCGUGAACCUUUACUACAGCUUGGCACUGAACAUUGAGCCUGCAUGUGCAGGAUAGGUGGGAGGCUUCGAAGCGGUAACGCCAGUUAUCGUGGAGCCAUCCUUGAAAUACCACCCUUGCAUGUUUGAUGUUCUAACCUCGGUCCAUUAUCUGGAUUAGGGACAGUGUCUGGUGGGUAGUUUGACUGGGGCGGUCUCCUCCCAAAGAGUAACGGAGGAGCACGAAGGUGGGCUAAGUACGGUCGGACAUCGUACGGUUAGUGCAAUGGCAUAAGCCCGCUUAACUGCGAGACAGACACGUCGAGCAGGUACGAAAGUAGGUCAUAGUGAUCCGGUGGUUCUGAAUGGAAGGGCCAUCGCUCAACGGAUAAAAGGUACUCCGGGGAUAACAGGCUGAUACCGCCCAAGAGUUCAUAUCGACGGCGGUGUUUGGCACCUCGAUGUCGGCUCAUCACAUCCUGGGGCUGGAGCAGGUCCCAAGGGUAUGGCUGUUCGCCAUUUAAAGUGGUACGCGAGCUGGGUUCAGAACGUCGUGAGACAGUUCGGUCCCUAUCUGCCGUGGGCGUUGGAUGAUUGAGAGGAGUUGCUCCUAGUACGAGAGGACCGGAGUGAACACACCUCUGGUGUUCGGGUUGUCACGCCAGUGGCACUGCCCGGUAGCUACGUGUGGAACUGAUAACCGCUGAAAGCAUCUAAGCGGGAAGCAGGCCUCAAGAUGAGUCAUCCCUAAGACUAUAAGUCUUCUGAAGGGCCGUCCGAGACUAGGACGUUGAUAGGCAGGGUGUGUAAGCGUUGUGAGGCGUUGAGCUAACCUGUACUAAUGACCCGAGAGGCUUAACCAU
rnacentral:rRNA from 1 species